rnacentral:rRNA from 1 species
AGACGGGACCCGCACAAGCGUGGAUGAUGUGGAUUAAUCGAUGCAACGCGAAAACCUUACCUACCCUUGACAUGUCCGGAAUCCCGAAGAGAUUUGGGAGUGCUCGCAAGAGAGCCGGAACACAGGUGCUGCAUGGCUGUCGUCAGCUCGUGUCGUGAGAUGUUGGGUUAAGUCCCGCAACGAGCGCAACCCUUGUCAUUAGUUGCCAUCAUUUGGUUGGGCACUCUAAUGAGACUGCCGGUGACAAACCGGAGGAAGGUGGGAUGACGUCAAGUCCUCAUGGCCCUUAUGGGUAGGGCUUCACACGUCAUACAAUGGUCGGUACAGAGGGUUGCCAACCCGCGAGGGGGAGCUAAUCCCACAAAGCCGAUCGUAGUCCGGAUCGCAGUCUGCAACUCGACUGCGUGAAGUCGGAAUCGCUAGUAAUCGUGGAUCAGCAUGUCACGGUGAAUACGUUCCCGGGUCUU